GCCGAGGUGAUGGAAUUGGCAGUCAUGCUAGGUUUAGGACCUAGUGCCAGUAAUGGCGUGCGGGUUCGACUCCCGCCCUCGGCA
rnacentral:tRNA from 1 species